rnacentral:rRNA from 1 species
ACUCAAAUGAAUUGACGGGGACUCGCACAAGCAGUGGAGCAUGUGGUUUAAUCCGAUACAACGCGUAGAACCUUACCAAGGCUUGACAUGUUCGGCAAAACUAGGGAAACCUAGCAGAGGUUAUCCGAAUACAGGUGCUGCAUGGCCGUCGUCAGUUCGUGCCGUGAGGUGUAUGGUUAAGUCCUAUAACGAACGCAACCCUUAGGUCUAGUUGCCAGCAUUCAGUUGGGGACUCUAGACCGACUGCCCGAGUAAUCGGGAGGAAGGAGAGGAUGACGUCUGGUCGUCAUGGCCCUUAUGCCUUGGGCGACACACGUGCUACAAUGGCUAACACAAAGGGAUGCCAACCCGCGAGGGGGAGCUAAUCCCAAAAAAUUAGUCUCAGUUCGGAUUGGAGGCUGCAACUCGCCUCCAUGAAGUUGGAAUUGCUAGUAAUCGCAAAUCAGCCAUGUUGCGGUGAAUACGUUCUCGAGUCUUGUACACACCGCCCGU